GACUCUCGGCAACGGAUAUCUUGGCUCACGCAUCGAUGAAGAACGUAGCAAAAUGCGAUACUUGGUGUGAAUUGCAGAAUCCCGUGAACCAUCGAGUUUUUGAACGCAAGUUGCGCCCGAAGCCUUUUGGCUGAGGGCACGUCUGCCUGGGCGUCACAC
rnacentral:rRNA from 1 species